rnacentral:rRNA from 1 species
CCUACGGGAGGCAGCAGUGAGGAAUAUUGGUCAAUGGACGCAAGUCUGAACCAGCCAUGCCGCGUGCAGGAAGACGGCUCUAUGAGUUGUAAACUGCUUUUGUACGAGGGUAAACGCAGAGACGCAUAGCUGUCUGAAAGUAUCUUAAGAAUAAGGAUCGGCUAACUCCGUGCCAGCAGCCGCGGUAAUACGGAGGAUUCGAGCGUUAUCCGGAUUUAUUGGGUUUAAAGGGUGCGUAGGCGGUCAGAUAAGUUAGAGGUGAAAUCCCGAGGCUCAACUUCGGAAUUGCAUUUGAUACUGUUUGGCUAGAGAGUAGUUGAGGUAGGCGGAAUGUAUGGUGUAGCGGUGAAAUGCUUAGAGAUCAGGCAGAACACCGAUUGCGAAGGCAGCUUACCAAGCUACUUCUGACGUUGAGGUACGAAAGCGUGGGGAGCAAACAGGAUUAGAUACCCUAGUAGUC